rnacentral:lncRNA from 1 species
UCGUCCCCGCCCCCUGCUCUGUUUUCUCCUGGUUGCCAGUCCUGUGGGCCUGUCGCCUCCACCAACCAGUCCCCGCUCAGGUGUCACUGUUGCUGGCAGGCCGGGGUUAGGGAAGGAGAAUGGGCAGGGGUCGCGGUUGGGAGGAGAGAGGCCCUACUAUGCCACCCUCAGCCCGAUUUGGCCUCCUCCCCGGCACCCCGCACACACACCCCAUACACCCCGGGCCGCUUUGGCAACCGUGCCUCGUCGGCUGGGUCGAGCCGCAGUGUGGGACCGUGUGGUGGUCAUUUAUGUUUCCCACUUGUGCAUCCACACCUUCCGAGGAGGGGCCGCUCUGGAGCGUUGCGGCCCGAAGACUUGGCAGAGCGUGCUGGGAGCUCUAGGACGCUGGAGCAGACUGUCCACCGAGGAAUUUCAGAAUGUUUGACCUGAAAUGAGCUGAAGUUUACACUUGAAAUGCUCUGAGAACAACUAAUGGCUUAGUAAUCAAACUGAAGAUACCAUGUUGUGGAAGAGCUGAACGAGCAAAAUUUGAUAGAGUCAUACAACAA